rnacentral:rRNA from 1 species
UACGGAGGAUGCAAGCGUUAUCCGGAAUCAUUGGGUUUAAAGGGUCCGCAGGCGGAUAUAUAAGUCAGUGGUGAAAGCCUACAGCUUAACUGUAGAACUGCCAUUGAAACUGUAUGUCUUGAAUUCGAUCGAAGUGGGCGGAAUGUGUCAUGUAGCGGUGAAAUGCAUAGAUAUGGCACAGAACACCGAUAGCGAAGGCA